rnacentral:rRNA from 1 species
AUUGAACGCUGGCGGCAGGCUUAACACAUGCAAGUCGAACGAGUGGCGGACGGGUGAGUAAUGUCUGGGAAACUGCCUGCUGGAGGGGGAUAACUACUGGAAACGGUAGCUAAUACCGCAUACCAUCAGAUGUGCCCAGAUGGGAUUAGCUGGUUGGUGGGGUAACGGCUCACCAAGGCGACGAUCCCUAGCUGGUCUGAGAGGAUGACAGGCCACACGGGGACUGAGGCACGGCCCAGCCUCCUACGGGAGGCAGCAGUGGGGAAUAUGGCGCAAUGGGGGCAAGCCUGAUGCAGCCAGGCCGCGUGUAUGAAGAAGGCCUUCGGGUUGUAAAGUACUUUCAGCGGUGAGGCGUUACCCGCAGAAGAAGCACCGGCUAACUCCGUGCCAGCCGCCGCGGUAAUAC